ensembl:lncRNA
CUAACUUUAAGUUAGACAUAUAAUUGGUGGGUUUUCAGGGGUGAAAUCUGGCUGAAAUGAAUGAAGAUUAACACCUCCAUUUUUGUUUCUUAUCCAUGUAGUCCCUGUGUUCAGUCUUCCUAAAAGAUCUCUGUUUCUUCUUAGGACACGGCAACUGUUACCAUGGUUUUCUCAGCAUUGUUUCUGAGGUGCAGUCCCUGGGUCCAUGUGGGUGAAGAUUUCAGGGUCAGAAAUUGCUGGUUUGAUUGCAUUCAUGGGCACUGAAUUCAUGAAGCUUACAGAUAAAAUUCAGCAUGAUAAAGUUUCAGACAGAGGGAGGUAGGUGGCAGAGGAAGACUGCAGCUUGAGAAAGUGAGUAGCUAGAUGCAAGGAAACAACAAGACUGCCAGAUUCUUAGCUGAGCAUAAACAGGGUUCUGAGCGGCGCCGGCAAUGGUGGAGAUGGUGGCAG